AAGGAUCACAUAGAUCUUAAACUGAAGAGUUUGAUCAUGGCUCAGAUUGAACGCUGGCGGCAGGCCUAACACAUGCAAGUCGAGCGGUAACAGGGGUAGCUUGCUACCCGCUGACGAGCGGCGGACGGGUGAGUA
rnacentral:rRNA from 1 species